AAGCAAGGUAGCUCCCUUUCCAAGGGGCCUAAUAGGGCUUCUCUUCAGGAAAGAAGCAACUUGGAAUAAAAUCUGGCAUGCUUCAGGUUUUCAGGAGAGAAAGUGAUGAGUAAUUUCCUUUGCCUUUCUUUGGCUGCCUACAUGU